rnacentral:lncRNA from 1 species
CAGGGUCCGUAUGCACGACCGGCAGCGGGGUACGGCCACGUAGCGAGCGAGCGAGGCUACGUGUCUAGGAGGCCUCAUCUCGUAAGAGCCGUGAGACACUCGCGUGUUCCGUUAUGUGGAGGACAGCCAAGCGACUGGAGUUACAGAAGAGGAAGGGAGGAGAGAAGGAGAAAGAAGCGUCUGAGCUGGCAAGGUCUCCUGGCAGCUCCAAGAGCGAGAGCUGUGUUUUGACAGCAGUUGAUAUACAACCUUGUGGAAAGGCCAGACCGUUGCACGUAGCUGGAGCUUGUAAGGAGAAGCAGCUGAAAUCAGCCGGAGCUUCAGCGCGGAGCUGGGGCUUCAGCGAGCCAGAACUGUAGCAAGCGGGAGCUGGAACGAGGCUGGGGUGUCCGCUGUCUGGAGCGUGCAUUAGCCAGAGGCGAAAGUACCUGCGGCUGUAACGAGCAGGAGCCGCGAUUAGCUGGAGCGUCCGUCGGCCGGACCGCGCUCCCAGCACGGCCGAAGGGCGGCCGGGCGCAGGCAGGGCUGUCCGCAGCAAGCAGCUCCGAGCAGCAGGGAGGCGAGCCGUCCUUCUGCCGGCGGGGAGCCCGGCCUCUUCCCUCGGGGAUGCAAUCCGCGCCACGCUCCUCUCUCUGCGUGGAGGGUCUCGCCCGGUCCGUUCCCGCGGGCAGAAGCAAGCGUCACCUUCCGCGUCACACGAAGAAAAUCCCGCGUGGGUAAUUCCGCUUGCUGCUCAGCUGGAUGUCAGCUGGCACCGUUUCGCCGUGCUUGCCCUUUCUUCUGCCAUGACAAUACGAGACAGAUGGAAAGAAUCCAUAGUGGUCUGCAAGUACAAGCGUGUCAUUUUGACUUCAGUUGGAAAGAGAUUUUCCAAAAUGGAAGUCUUUGUCACUCAAAGAAAUUUUCUUUUAUGAACUUCCCAUCAGAGUGGAUCUUCAGAGGUGAUCGACUUGACAGUAGAAGUCAUCAGUAACAAGACUUUUCACUCUCUUUAAAAAGAGGGGGGGAAAAAAAAAAAAAAAGUCAAUUUCCUUCCAAAGACCCAAGCACAGCCCAUCUUCCUAAAGUUGAUGGCAUCGCUGGUCUUUGGUUUCUCAGUUGUAACAGUCGCGACAACAUGAAAAUGUGUUGCUCUGCGUGCUUCAGUACUGCCAAAAGCAUUAGGAAAUCCGCCAGUCCUUUUUGGUAGUCUGAGGUAUUGCAGCACUGGGGAUUUUACAAAUUGACCUGCAUUGUUUAAAGUGUAACUGCCAAAUAGCUGUAGUAUAUCAUUUAUGAGGUGUAUGUAAGCAGUUAGGUAUUUUUCUAAAUGUUUAAAAAGAGAGGCAACUGAAUGUUGUGGGUUUUCUUUCCUGACGUUUUGACGGAGUGCUCUGAAGUACUUUCUUUCUGUCUGGCUUUCAAUGGUGUGUUUCCCUGGCAGUUCAGUAGCACCUCUCUUGGGCAGCGCAGCUGGCCAGGUGUUCCUCCUCAUUACGUAACACACACAAAAACCCCCUAGUCACAUUAUAACUGUGUACUUUGGAGAUAGAUAAUUUAACGGUAGGAAUUCAGAGCUGUGCAAGUUAAGGUAAUGCAAAAGGAAAAUCAAAUACUUUUACAGUAUAAGUAUUCUUAUUGGAUGUAUAUAAACGUGGGCACACCCUUUGAGUGUAAAGUGAAUUAUUGAGAUUUAUUCUUUAUUUUUCAUUUUGCUCUUUGAAGUUUUCCACUUCACUUUCAGCUUUAUUCACCAAACAAGCAAGAUGCAAAGCAGCAGCAGCAGCGCAAGGGCUGUAGCUGUUGCGGUGGAUCCGUAAGCAUAGAUUCUGAUUGUGUACGACCUCGUCCCGCAGCCUCCCGGGGUUCUCUCCCUGCAGCAGUGCUGUAAGGAAGGGAGGAGACGUUUUCCAACCCCGGCAAGAGUGUUUACUUGUGUGCUAAGCAGGUGUUCAAAAUGGUAUCAAUUAGCCUAAAUGCUGAUUUUAAGUGUUCAAAUAGCUCUUAACUUUUAAAGGAGGGUGGUGUAUUUCGAGCUGACCUGUUUACCUGGAAUCCUCCUUUAGCUCAGCGACUCUCCUUGUGCACCCCCAGCCUCCGCUGGCAGGGCGGUAUGAGAAGCUGGAAGGUCCUUGACUUAGUAUAAACCCUGCUUAGCAACAACUAAAGCGUCGGUGUGUUGUCAACGUUAUUCUCGUCCUAAAUCCAAAAUGGCCCUGUACCAGCUACUCAGGAAGAAAAUUAACUUUAUUCCAGCCAAAACCAGGACAACCCCAAACCCCCCUGAUUCUGGGUCUGCAACAGGGAAAAAAAACAAACGAAUUUGGGACUCCUGGGAAAGCCAAAUCCGCCUGGAUCUGUGCAGCUGGAAAGGAAAAAAUCCCACCCCGUUUUCACGCGCAAAACCACAA